rnacentral:misc_RNA from 1 species
UACGGAGGGUGCAAACGUUGCUCGGAAUCAUUGGGCGUAAAGCGCACGUAGGCGGCCGGGAAAGUUGGAUGUGAAAGCCCUGGGCUCAACCCAGGAUGUGCAUUCAAAACUCCCCGGCUUGAGUUCCGGAGGGGCCCAGAGAAUUCCCGGUGUAGAGGUGAAAUUCGUAGAUAUCGGGAGGAAUACCAGUGGCGAAGGCGCUGGGCUGGACGGGUACUGACGCUGAGGUGCGAAAGCGUGGGGAGCAAACAGG